rnacentral:rRNA from 1 species
CAGUCGCCACGGGAAUACGGAGGGGGCUAGCGUUGUUCGGAAUUACUGGGCGUAAAGCGCACGUAGGCGGCUUUGUAAGUUAGAGGUGAAAGCCCGGAGCUCAACUCCGGAAUUGCCUUUAAGACUGCAGAGCUAGCAGGUGAGAGAGGUGAGUGGAAUUCCGAGUGUAGAGGUGAAAUUCGUAGAUAUUCGGAAGAACACCAGUGGCGAAGGCGGCUCACUGGCUCAUACUGGACGCUGAGGUGCGAAAGCGUGGGGAGCAAACAGGAUUAGAUACCCGGGUAGUCCCUGUCUCUUAUAU